AAUCAACGCUGGCGGCGUGCCUAACACAUGCAAGUCGAACGCGAGAGGGGCUUCGGCCCCGAUUGAGUGGCGAACGGGUGAGUAACACGUGGGUGACCUACCUUCGAGUGGGGGAUAACGUCCCGAAAGGGACGCUAAUACCGCAUAACAUUCCGCUUUUGAACAAGUGGAAAUCAAAGCCGGGGAUCGUAAGACCUGGCGCUUGAAGAGGGGCCCGCGUCCGAUUAGCUAGUUGGUGAGGUAACGGCUCACCAAGGCGACGAUCGGUAGCCGGCCUGAGAGGGCGGACGGCCACACUGGGACUGAGACACGGCCCAGACUCCCACGGGAGGCAGCAGUGGGGAAUUGUUCGCAAUGGGCGCAAGCCUGACGACGCAACGCCGCGUGGAGGAUGAAGGUCUUCGGAUUGUAAACUCCUGUUGCUCGGGACGAAAUGCUCCAGCCUAACACGUUGGAGUUUGACGGUACCGGGUGAGGAAGCCCCGGCUAACUCUGUGCCAGCCGCCGCGGUAAC
rnacentral:rRNA from 1 species